rnacentral:rRNA from 1 species
GAUGAACGCUAGCGGCAGGCUUAACACAUGCAAGUCGAGGGGUAACAGUUAGAAAGCUUGCUUUCUAAGCUGACGACCGGCGCACGGGUGAGUAACGCGUAUGCAACCUACCUUUAACAGGAGGAUAGCCCCGAGAAAUCGGGAUUAAUACUCCAUAAUUUUUAUGAACCGCAUGGUUUAUAGAAUAAAGUUCCGGCGGUUAAAGAUGGGCAUGCGUGACAUUAGCUGGUUGGUGAGGUAACGGCUCACCAAGGCAACGAUGUCUAGGGGUUCUGAGAGGAUUAUCCCCCACACUGGUACUGAGACACGGACCAGACUCCUACGGGAGGCAGCAGUGAGGAAUAUUGGUCAAUGGGCGGAAGCCUGAACCAGCCAUGCCGCGUGCAGGAAGACGGUUCUAUGAAUUGUAAACUGCUUUUCUACAGGAAGAAACCACCUUAUGCGUAGGGUGUUGCCGGUACUGUAGGAAUAAGCAUCGGCUAACUCCGUGCCAGCAGCCGCGGUAAUACGGAGGAUGCAAGCGUUAUCCGGAUUCAUUGGGUUUAAAGGGUGCGUAGGCGGAAUAGUAAGUCAGUGGUGAAAUCCUGCGGCUCAACCGUAGAAUUGCCAUUGAAACUGUUAUUCUUGAAUG